UGGGGGAUAUUGCACAAUGGGCGAAAGCCUGAUGCAGCGACGCCGCGUGGGGGAUGAAGGCUUUCGGGUUGUAAACCUCUUUCGCUAUCGAACAAGGCCCGCUUAGGGUGGGUUGAGGGUAGGUGGAGAAGAAGCGCCGGCUAACUACGUGCCAGCAGCCGCGGUAAUACGUAGGGCGCGAGCGUUGUCCGGAAUUAUUGGGCGUAAAGGGCUUGUAGGCGGCUUGUUGCGCCUGCUGUGAAAACGCGGGGCUUAACUUCGCGCGUGCAGUGGGUACGGGCAGGCUUGAGUGUGGUAGGGGUGACUGGAAUUCCAGGUGUAGCGGUGGAAUGCGCAGAUAUCUGGAGGAACACCGAUGGCGAAGGCAGGUCACUGGUCCAUUACUGACGCUGAGGAGCGAAAGCAUGGGUAGCGAACAGG
rnacentral:rRNA from 1 species